GGAAUCUUCCACAAUGGGCGAAAGCCUGAUGGAGCAACGCCGCGUGUGUGAUGAAGGGUUUCGGCUCGUAAAACACUGUUGUAAGAGAAGAAUGACAUUGAGAGUAACUGUUCAAUGUGUGACGGUAUCUUACCGGAAAGGAACGGCUAAAUACGUGCCAG
rnacentral:rRNA from 1 species